AAGAAGGUAAUCUCACAUAGUAGGGUUUCCGCUUUCUAGUCUUAUAGAGUGUAGCAGCCACGUACAUAUUCCUACCUCUCCAACUCUCUAUCUUCCUCCUCCUUGCCCGCCGCCUCCCCCCGCGCCCCAACACACACACACUCUAUCUUCCUCCUCAUUGCCCGCCGCCUCCCCCCGCGCCCCAACACACACACACUCACAUAGGGUUUUAUUUUUUCCUUUACAAAUUCUUACAUUCUUAAGAGCUGUGAUGAGAUCUGAAGAAAGUCAUGCACCACUCUGACAAAUUUAAUUUUUGAUCGAUGACAAGUUUCUCAUACCCAUUUUACCUCUGAGCUCUUAUACAUGCUUUCAAUUUUAUUACUAUUUAUUUGAAUUGUGAAUUUCAAAAGAUCCCUUUUUUCAUGAAAAAAAAGUAAUUCAUAGGAGGAGUCACGUGAUGGGAUCUUUUUCACAAAGAUCAAACCAUGAUGCGGACCGUACCACAGCCUAAAGCUUCUGGGGAUUAACUUUGGUUUCUGAUGACUCCUUUACCCUUUACAUUAUUUUUCUUCAAUGUGUUUUCAUUUGAAUCUGAUUUCCUUUAUUUUUUUUGAAAGAAAACAAAAAUCUCUUAUCGAUUUCGCCCAUAGAUAAAAGCAAAGGAAAUAUUUGUAGGAAGGGGAAAGGGAGGAGGGAUUUGGGAAGCUUGUGGUGUGGGCGGGGCGGGAAGAUAUCAUAUUUAUAUUUGUUGGAAAUAUAAGAAAUGAGAUCUUGCCGAUUCCGUCCAUACCGCUGGCUUCUAAUCAUUUUUCCCUUUCCUAAUUCUCCUCCAGUUGCAAUUUGCAUCAGUUGGAUUAUGGAUUUCUUGGUACGUCAUCAAUUUCUCUUUGUUAUCUGUUGUAACAACUUACAAGUUUCUGUGCCAGCUUCAAUGUUAGGUUAUUGAAACCUCUCUCUGGGAAUGAAUUAAAAACACUUGAUAGUUGUAUGGAAAUCAAUUAAAGAUUAGCCCAUCAUAGUCGAUCCAUCUUGGGUAAUUGUUUAUCAAAUUUUGUUUUGUUUGCAAAAUUUAACUCAAUUUUGUCAAGGUAGUUUUCAUGAUUAUUAUUUUUAAAAAUAUAAUCAUUGGUCAUUCUUUAAUGACGUAUUUUUUAUAAAUAAUUUUAAAAUUUGUGUACUUUUUCCAUGAUAAUUUUAUUUAUUUUGAAUAAGCUAAUGUAAUUUUUCCCUUAUGAAUACACUGAAUCCCGUUUUAUUUAUUCAACGAAACAGCUGUGAGAUAAUAUAUUAUAUUUAUAUUUUUUGUAUUUCUUAAUCAUUUUAUUGUCUAGCUUUAUCCUUUAUGUUAUACUAUCCGACCAUAUUUAUCCUAUCGUCAUCAAUUUUUUACUUAUAACCCAGUCCUACGAAAAUGCCCAAAUUAGAACAAAUCAUCUAAAUUUUAAAUUAAAAAUCCGUAACCCACAAUGUAAUCCGUCCAUCCUGUCUUAGUGGGCAUGUAUAACUUUGAUUUUUGGUAUCUAAAAGAACAAUAUCAUUACCAUUUCAAAUUAGUUCGGUAUUAUCCGAUAUUUUUAAAUUCGAUUUUGAUAUUUUACGAUAUGAUAAUUUGGUACUCAUAGUUUAUUUAAUUUCUAAUUACAUAUAUUUAUAUAAAAAAUUAUAACUUUAAAUUUUAAAAACGUCUUAGUCAUGUUAGGCUAACAACUAUUUUAGUUAAUUAGUUACACAAAAUUAAACAUUUCAAUUACGAUUGAAUAGUUUGAGAUAUAUAUUCUAAACAACAGUACUAAACUUAAAGCAUAGUAUUCUUAAAUAAUAAAUUUUUCAAAUUUUUUUUUCUGAGUAAAAGUUAUUUUUGUGUUCAAUUAGUUAAUGGAUCAUAUAUAAAUAUAUUUAAUAAUCUUAAAUAUAAUAUAUAUAUAUACAUAUGAGUUUUAUAUGUUAUUAAAAAACUUUGGUGCGGUAUAUGAUAUUUGGUAUUUAUUGUAUAAAUAUCAAAUACCCUAUUAAAUAUUAAAAUAAUUUAAAAUUCCUGCCAAAUAUCAUACCAAAUACUAUAACAUGCAUAACGCGAUAUAAAAUUUUUUGAUUUCGAUCUGAUAUUUGAUAUAUACCAUACAAUGUCUACCCUAGUCUUCGGAGGCGGAUCCACAUGGUUAGCUGAGGGUGCACGUGCACCUGGUAACUUUUUUUAAAAAAUUGUAUAUGUAGUAACAAAAAAUGUUUAGGUGUACUGGUUUUGAACUCAUAUGCUAGCAUUCUUUAGGCCCCGACGUUGCGGGUUCGAUUUUUGAUGAAUGCCCUUUUUUUUCAUUUAUUUAAUAUAGUAAUAUUUAAUUGUCACCAACUCAGCUGGCCCCACAACAUCAAAAGUGAAAACUAGAAUUACAAGCAGCAAUUUCAAUUCUCCAUUUGACUCUCCUAAAUUUCAAGUCCU
rnacentral:lncRNA from 1 species